ACGACGACUGCCCACAGCAGGCUGACAAGCGGCAUGCUGACAGCUCUGCCCUGUAGGGUGAAGAAGAAUCUCUUGCUCUGAUCUGGGCUCUCUUCUGUGCUCCGCAGACUUCAGAGCAGGAAGUGAUAUGACAGAGGGAGUGACAGAGAUUCUCAUGUAAUGCCAGUGUUGGAGUCCUCAAGGUGGGAAUGUGGAUGGGAUCCUGUCACAGGAUCCUGUCACAGAGGAGGCAGUGUCCGAGGAGCACAGGUUCUUUAUGACACAGAGGGAAACAGGACCUCUCGUCCAGAACAGUGUGAGAACAGGAAGCAUCAACAUCCAAAUGAGUUGAUGGGGAGAUAGUCCCACUUCUACUUCUUGGCUCCCAGGUCCAU